GGAGUUGGACAGAUCAUCGCCGCGGGUAACACCGGGGAGGAAAGUCCGGGCUCCGCAGGGCAGGGCGCUGGGUAACUCCCAGCGGAAGUGAUUCCGGGAAAGUGCCACAGAAAACAGACCGCCCCGGUGUUUUAUACACCGGAGUAAGGGUGAAACGGUGGAGUAAGAGCCCACCAGCGGCCAUGGUGACAUGACCGGCUAGGCAAACCCCGUCCGGAGCAAGACCAAAUAGAAAAGCGCUUGAGGCCGGCCCGGCUGAAGCUUUCGGGUAGGUUGCUUGAGGCGUAUGGUAACAUACGUCCUAGAGGAAUGAUGAUUAUCCCGUUUUUGCGGGAACAAAACCCGGCUUACAGUCCGACUCCAUCU
rnacentral:RNase_P_RNA from 2 species